rnacentral:rRNA from 1 species
UACGAAGGGGGCUAGCGUUGCUCGGAAUCAUUGGGCGUAAAGAGCGUGUAGGCGGCCCGGUAAGUCCGCUGUGAAAGUCGGGGGCUCAACCCUCGGAUGCCGGUGGAUACUGUCGGGCUCGAGUACGGAAGAGGCGAGUGGAAUUCCUGGUGUAGCGGUGAAAUGCGCAGAUAUCAGGAGGAACACCUAUUGCGAAGGCAGCUCGCUGGGACGUUACUGACGCUGAGACGCGAAAGCGUGGGGAGCAAACAGG